UUUUUGUCCCUUUGUGUUCCUCAAAAAUCACUCAUAAAUUUCUCUCUCUACAUUUUUUCUUCUUUCUUUUUUCCUUUUAAUUUUGUAUAAUAUUAUUUUAUUUUAUCUUGAUUCUCUGUACAUCUCCACCUUUUUUUUUUCUCUUUGAAAGCAAGAACCCAAAAUUUCCACUCAACUUUCUGCCCACAAAAACCCCUAAAUUUUUUUCCAAAGUUUCAAUCUUUUUUAUUUUUAUUGGAUCAUUUUUAUUAGGGUUUGUUAAUUUUGUUGUCAAAAUCAAAACUUUGUAUCUGGGUUUUCAUGGGCGAGCUUGAAGAUAUUGGUCCUGACUAUGGCUCGGAUAUAGAGGUCGAUGAUCUAAGGGGUGGGAACAUUGCGGAGAAAGAUGUUAGUGAUGAAGAGAUUGAGCCGGAGGAAUUGGAAAGGCGAAUGUGGAAGGAUCGUAUUAAGCUUAAGAGGAUCAAAGAGAGGGAACAACUUGAGGCGCAACGGGCUGCUGAGAAGCAAAAGCCCAAGCAGACGAGUGAUCAGGCGAGGAGGAAGAAAAUGUCCCGAGCACAAGAUGGGAUUUUGAAGUAUAUGUUGAAGUUGAUGGAAGUUUGCAAAGCGCGGGGUUUUGUGUAUGGGAUAAUUCCUGAAAAGGGAAAGCCUGUCAGCGGUUCUUCGGAUAAUAUAAGAGCGUGGUGGAAAGAAAAAGUUAAAUUCGACAAGAAUGGGCUGGCUGCCAUAGCCAAGUAUGAAGCUGAGUGUUUGGUGAUGACUGAGGGUGCUAAUAAUGGGAAUGGAAAUGGCCAAAGCACACUUCAGGAUUUGCAAGAUGCUACUUUGGGGUCCCUUUUGUCAUCGUUGAUGCAACAUUGUGAUCCUCCUCAGAGAAAGUUUCCUCUUGAGAAGGGUGUGCCUCCACCAUGGUGGCCUUCUGGGGACGAAGAUUGGUGGUCAAAGCUUGGUUUACCGAAGGGUCAAAACCCUCCAUAUAAGAAGCCUCAUGAUCUCAAGAAGAUGUGGAAAGUUGGGGUUCUGACUGCUGUUAUUAAGCAUAUGUCUCCUGAUAUUGCAAAGAUUCGAAGGCUUGUGAGACAAUCUAAGUGUUUACAAGACAAGAUGACUGCCAAGGAGAGUUCAAUUUGGUUGGGGGUUUUGGGUCGGGAAGAGUCCCUUAUUCGGCAGCCUAGCAGUGAUAAUGGAAUGUCGGGUGUUACAGGAAGCCCGCAUGGCCCACGUGGUGAAAAGAGAAAACCAGCUGCUAGCAGUGACAGUGAUUAUGACGUUGAUGAAGGUGCCGGGUCUGUUUCUUCUAAAGAUGAAAGGAAAAACCAACAAAGUGAUGAAGAAACAAUUGGUGCACCUGAAACAAAUACUCGCUCUUCUAUCCGAAAUAAGAAUCUAAUUGGGAAGCAAAGCAAGAGAAAAAAAUCUCAAGGAAAACCUAGUUCUAUUGAUGAGCAAACCAGCCCAUCUAAGGAUGAUCAGCUUUUGGUUGCAGCACCUAAUGAUAAGCAGGCUGCACCAUCUACAAUUGAGAAUUUGGUUGAACCUGUGGGGCCUGUGUCUGACAUGGACCAUGAGAAUGAAGACUUGAAUGGUUUCCUGAUGCAUGAUAGCAGUAACCAGGAGGAUAAUGGCUCUCUAUUUAUUGAACCAUUGGUACCCAUGGCCACUGAUAAUUUGGGGCAAUAUCAUCCUCUGGCCUCAGAUUAUGGUCAAUAUGGUUACUUGUCUAAUGUCCGUCCUCCCAAUAUAAUGUCUCGACAAAAUAUGCUUGCGGCAGAUCAAUCCUUCCAUCAUGCAAUGGUACAAGAAAAUGAAUUACAACAUGCUGAUUCUUAUUAUGAUCCAUCAAUUCAAUAUGGGCAAAGGCAUGAUAAACAAUAUGGACAAGGGCAUGACGUACAGAACUUGCAACAUCCAAUAAGUGAGCCUCAGGCAAGGAACGAAAUCGUUGGAAUGCAUCUUCCCUCACUUAAUUUAACUGGAAAUGAGAUCACUGGAAGUCACUUGCCUGUUUUUGAUGGACCCUUUAAUAGUAGUCUUGGGUCUCCCUUUCAUGACCUUUCUUUAGAAUUUUCAUUAGGAGAUUAUGAGAUUGAGGACUUUGGUUUAGACGAAGACUUCUUGGAAUACACUGGAGCUUAGAAUGGCAAAGUGGGAUUUGUGCAGCUUAAACUGUGAUGAUGUGAUGCAAAUCAAAGCAAAGAUUCAGUUUGAAUGUGUCACCUGUAUAGUUGUCACUUGUCAACUUAGUCCCUGCAGUUGUCCUGGAUUUGCACAAGGGUUGGAUUUUCUGUGGUGAUAUUUUUUGGGGUUCAUUUUAGGAAGGGCUUUUCCCUCGAGAAAGGAUGGUUCUUGCCUACUGUGGAAUUAUCUGAAGGAUGCCAUGGUGAAAUUCUUUAACUUACCAAUUUGUGUUUUAUUAAUAGCUGGCAACUCUUGUCUUCAACUCCGUGCAUGACGAUCGUCGGUCAUAAGACCUUCUAGAACCUAAGGUUAAUUUUUCUGGUGCUUAGAUUGCUGCCUGUGUUUUGGUGGGGUUGAUCUUUGGAUGGCUAGCUCCACUAGUAUUUUUCAGGUUUCUCUGCCAGGGAUGCUGAGCGAGGGAAGGUAUGAAUACGAAGGGGCACACCGCACAUGAAAGUGAUUUCAGAGCAUUUUCUUCUCGAGUGAAACUAUACUCUAUGAGCUUCUUUUUGACCAAGUUGUUUAGUCAUUCCCCAGACAACUGAAUGCAAAGUGAUUAUUUUACUUUGUUUUUAAGAGCAUUUACCAGAAUUGUGGUUUAGUUUGACAGUUAAAAGCUGCUAAUUAGACGGACUAUAUGUCGUCAUCUCUUUUUGCAAGAAUUUGAUUUUCAUGUACUUCUAUGACGGAUCAGAGUACUUGUGAUUGAACAUAUUUUCGAAUAGGUAUUACCGAAAAUGUUUCUUACCCUUCUUCAAGCUGUAUGCGCCAGACAUAACAGAAGAAGGCGAGCUUGCGAGCUGCUUACGAGUUCUAUGGGCAGUGUCUAGGAUGUCAUUAUAUCAUGUGCUUCUCCUGGAUCAGAUUGUCUUUUUUUGUUAUUUAUGUUGUAGAUUUUCUCAUGUUUCAUAUGUAGUGAAGUUUCUUUUUGUGAUUUCUUAACUUCUGUCGAUCACCUAUGAGUUUUCAUCUUGUGUAUGCUAUCAAGUUCGACUUAGCACUUACAGAUUUUGAUGGUUAAGUUUGGAAACCAAUUUUCAUGUCUUCAAUGAGUACAUGAACAUUAUUUGUUUGAA